rnacentral:misc_RNA from 1 species
UUUCCGUAGGUGAACCUGCGGAAGGAUCAUUAAAGAGUAAGGGUCUUCGGGCCCGAUCUCCAACCCUUUGUUUAACUACCAUGUUGCUUUGGCGGGCCCGUCUCACGACCGCCGGCAGUUUGGCUUCGACCAAACUUCUGGCCCGUGCCCGUCAGUGGCCCCUUCAAAUUCUUGAUCAAGCAUGAUGUCUUAGUUAAAAACUUAAUAGUUAAAACUUUCAACAACGGAUCUCUUGGUUCUG